UUGAAAGGGAAACGAUUGAAGUCAGUCGUACCUGCGGACAAUCAGCCUUUCGGGUGCGAUUAUGUGGAGCGUGGGGAGCUAAACACCUUCAUGCCUGCGUAUUUGUAUUCUGGGGUGUACUUGGACGUGCGGUAGGUUAACAUCAAUUUCGGACGUCAUAAAAUGGCUGGAGGAAUGUAGCUUCGGUCUCGUACUGAAGUGUUAUAGCCUUCGGCAGAUAUGGUGACCGGGAUUGAGGAUUGCAACGAAUACCUUUUGGGCUAUCCGUCUGACCUCUGAAAGUUGCUCUGGUGCCGAAAGCUUGCUUACGGUUAUCAAAGUUGACGUUCAAAAGGUUAGAACGGGUUAAAUUCGUUAAGGAUGUUGACGUA
rnacentral:rRNA from 1 species